ensembl:snoRNA
ACACCUCCUUUCACUCUGCCAAUUGGACUUAUGUCUUUAUUGGUCAUUCAAAUGGGGCAAAGGAAAUAACCUUUUAAAACUCAGGCAAACUGGGUGUUUGUCUUGUAACCUGUCAGAGGAAACAUUG